GGGGAUAUAAUUCAGUUGGUAGAAUGCUUGCCUUGGAGGCAAGAAGGCCCUGGGUUCUAAUCCCUAGCACCA
rnacentral:tRNA from 1 species